rnacentral:ncRNA from 1 species
GCAUUGAACAGUGCAGACGGUGCUGCGGGCAGACGAACGCCCGGAGCUAAGAGGGAAGCCGGUGCGCCUUUCGGGGCAAGGCCGGCGCUGUGCCCGCAACUGUAGGCCGGGAGUCCCGAAGCACCCAUGUCACUGGCAAGGCCCUUUCGGGGGCGGCGCCGGGAAGACGCUUCGAGGGCGACGAUCGGUGAGCCAGGAGACCUGCCGUCGCGUCGUUCGUCCG